CGUCGCCGCCAGGGCCGAGACACAUCCGCACCAGCCAGUCUGCGCCGCGGGCCGGUGGCCUGAUUUCUCCCCUUCCUUUGUUGUAGCUCACACAAAAGACUACGACUCCAGUGUGGUCAGCGGGCCCGCGCUGGAUUACACGCCAGGCCAUUCUUUGGGCCGGAGCCUUUGGGGGGGCCGGGGUGCGUCCCCUCCCAGGGCCAGAACUCCGGGCCUCGCCAGCGUCUGCGACCUGUCUCCCUCCCUCCGCCACAUCCACCCACCUACCGCCUUUGUCCCUUUCAGCUGGCGGCCAGGCCCGCGCUUGCCUUUUGGCCGCUCUGAGAUCGCUCUGGCGGCGGCCGCGGGCGUCCUCCCCGCCCCUCCCUUCCUCCCAAAGCCCAUUCAGUCGCCUGUCCUUAUCUCUCCCUCGCCCGUCCCUCUCCAUCCCUCUCUCUCCAGUUUCCAAGGCUGCCGUUGCCAUGGCGCUCACACAACUUGAGGGCUGAACAGGGGGGUUUUCUAUGGUGUCUGCCAAACUCUCAAAACUCGGGAGGAUGAAGGCCGCCCAAAGUCCUUGGGAUUCCCCCAGCGCUGAGGAGAGUGACAUUUAACUCACCACCCUCUCUACUCAGUGACCCCAGUGUUCAACAGCGUGCUCGGAUUCUGGGAAAUUCAGCGCUGAAUUGGGAAGAUAAUUCGAGUCACGCUUAGGGACAAUUUGCUUGUAAAAGCUGGACGGGGUCCCCCUCCAAAGAAAUACAUCCCAAGGAUCUUGCUUUGCAGCCCGGGCUAGAGUGCAGUGGCAUAUCAUCACAGCUCGCUGUAACCGCAAACUACGGGGCUCAAGUGAUCUCCCUGCCUCAACCUCCCAGUGUGGCCCGUGGAUCAGCUGCAAGAGCAUUAUCUGGGAGUUUGGUAGAAAUGAAGAAUCUCCAGUCCCAUCCAGACUUGCUGCACCAGAAUCUGCAUUUAACAAAACACCCAAGUGAUUUUUAUGCUACCACCAGAGAGGACUGCUCUAGUCCACAGCAUGCAUCCAGUAGAGAUGACGUUCAAAAGUGUCUCCAUCACUAAAUUCCCUAAAGGCAGAGAUCUUCUCCCUCUGAUUUGCCAUCUAUACCCAGCACUUAACGAUAACUUCGGUGCCCAGUAAGAGUUCAAGAAACAUUUGUUGAGUGAUGGACUAAAUGAAUAAAUAUGUGAAUAGUGAGUCAGAGCUCU